rnacentral:rRNA from 1 species
CAAUAGCGUAUAUUUAAGUUGUUGCAGUUAAAAAGCUCGUAGUUGGAUUUCGGUUAAGAGCGACCGGUCCGCCGUUUGGUGUGCACUGGUUGGUUUUAACUUCCUGUAGAGGACGUGCUCUGGGUUUAACGACCUGGACUCGGAGUCUACGUGGUUACUUUGAAAAAAUUAGAGUGUUCAAAGCGGGCUUACGCUUGAAUAUUUCAGCAUGGAAUAACACUAUAGGACUCCUGUCCUAUUUCGUUGGUCUCGGGACGGGAGUAAUGAUUAAGAGGAACAGUUGGGGGCAUUCGUAUUUCAUUGUCAGAGGUGAAAUUCUUGGAUUUAUGAAAGACGAACUCCUGCGAAAGCAUUUGCCAAGGAUGUUUUCAUUAA